GAACGCUGGCGGCGUGCUACUACAUGCAAUGUCGAACGCUUUUGUUUUCACCGGAGCUUGUCUCCACCGAAAACAAAAGAGUGGCGGACGGGUGAGUAACACGUGGGUAACCUGCCCUCAAGCGGGGGAUAACACUUGGAAACAGGUGCUAAUACCGCAUAACAAUCAGAAUCGCAUGAUUUUGAUUUGAAAGGCGCUUUUGCGUCACUUGAGGAUGGACCCGCGGUGCAUUAGCUAGUUGGUGAGGUAACGGCUCACCAAGGCCACGAUGCAUAGCCGACCUGAGAGGGUGAUCGGCCACACUGGGACUGAGACACGGCCCAGACUCCUACGGGAGGCAGCAGUAGGGAAUCUUCGGCAAUGGACGAAAGUCUGACCGAGCAACGCCGCGUGAGUGAAGAAGGUUUUCGGAUCGUAAAACUCUGUUGUUAGAGAAGAACAAGGGUGAGAGUAGAAUGUUCACACCCAUUGACGGUAUCUAACCAGAAAGCCACGGCAUAACUACCGUGCCAGCAGCCGCGGUAAUACGUAGGUGGCAAGCGUUGU
rnacentral:rRNA from 1 species